GAUGAACGCUGGCGGCGUGCCUAAUACAUGCAAGUCGAGCGAACAGACGAGGAGCUUGCUCCUCUGACGUUAGCGGCGGACGGGUGAGUAACACGUGGAUAACCUACCUAUAAGACUGGGAUAACUUCGGGAAACCGGAGCUAAUACCGGAUAAUAUAUUGAACCGCAUGGUUCAAUAGUGAAAGACGGUUUUGCUGUCACUUAUAGAUGGAUCCGCGCCGCAUUAGCUAGUUGGUAAGGUAACGGCUUACCAAGGCAACGAUGCGUAGCCGACCUGAGAGGGUGAUCGGCCACACUGGAACUGAGACACGGUCCAGACUCCUACGGGAGGCAGCAGUAGGGAAUCUUCCGCAAUGGGCGAAAGCCUGACGGAGCAACGCCGCGUGAGUGAUGAAGGUCUUCGGAUCGUAAAACUCUGUUAUUAGGGAAGAACAAAUGUGUAAGUAACCAUGCACGUCUUGACGGUACCUAAUCAGAAAGCCACGGCUAACUACGU
rnacentral:rRNA from 1 species